UUAUGUGAUCGUCUCUCGCAUAUCAAUAAGCGGAGGAAAAGAAACUAACAAGGAUUCCCCUAGUAACGGCGAGUGAAGCGGGAAGAGCUCAAAUUUGAAAUCUUAAAGGGUUUCCCUUUACGAAUUGUAGUUUAAAGAAGUGUUUUCUGUUGAGGUUUUGGUAAAAGUUCUUUGGAAUAGGACAUCAUAGAGGGUGAGAAUCCCGUAUUUGACCUUUACUUUCAACUUUGUGAUACACUUUCAAAGAGUCGGAUUGUUUGGGAAUGCAGUCCAAAAUGGGUGGUAAAUUUCAUCUAAAGCUAAAUAUUGGCGAGAGACCGAUAGCGAACAAGUACCGUGAGGGAAAGAUGAAAAGAACUUUGAAAAGAGAGUUAAACAGUACGUGAAAUUGACAAAAGGGAAGCUGUUUGACACCAGUGUUGUUUUUCUGAAAAUCAAUUAAAGAACUGUUUAUGCUAAGUUGUUUAGACUUUAUCAGCUAACUGUUUAGUUUUGAGCUUUUCUUUAAUGCACUUUUCAGUUAACAAGUCAACAUCAAUUUCUUUUGCUGUAAAAAAGCUUGAGGAAGGUGGCUUGAGAUUCGUCUUAAGUGUUUAUAGCCUCUUGCCUAUGCAGUCGGAGAGAUUGAGGUCUGCAGCGUAGAUCCUUCGGGGCUAAAUGCAUUUGUGCUAAGUUAUAGCAUUUUAUAGACAACUUGUUGACUAUGAUUUGUCUUGUAGCUUACUCGCUUAUGUUAUUUUACCUACGCUUAGGAUGUUGACACACGCGCGUGCUCG
rnacentral:rRNA from 1 species